CUGGUUGAUCCUGCCAGUAAUAUGUGCUUGUCUCAAAGAUUAAGCCAUGCAAGUCCAAGUGCACACGGCCAUUACAGUGAAACUGCGAAUGGCUCAUUAAAUCAGUUAGGGUUCCUUUGAUCACUCCACUCGGUUACUUGGAUAACUGUGAAAAUUCCAGAACCAAUACAUGCCAACGCGUGCCGACCUGGGCCGCCCGUCUCCCCUUUGGGGCGAGGGGGUGGAUCCCCAGGGACGCGUGCAUUUAUCAGAUCCAAAACCUAUGUGAGUGCGCGGCCAGCGGAGAAGGGGGCCACGCGCCUUCCCACCGCCGUCCACUCCCGGCUUUGCUUUGGUAACCUUGAGCCUAGAUAACCUUGAGCCGUUACCGUACCCUUGCGGCAGCGACUGUUAAUUCGAAUAUCUGCCCUAUCAACUUUCGAUGGUAGAUUCGUCGCCUACCAUGGUGACCACGGGUGACUGGGAAUCAGCGUUCGAUUCCGAAGAGGGUGCCUGAGAAACGGCCACCACAUCCAAAAGAGACAGCAGGCGCGCAAAUUACCCAUUUUCGAGCCGGAGAGGUAGUGACGAAACAUAACAAUGCAGAUUUCUCUUAGGGACUCUGUAAUUGGAAUUAGUGUAUCCUAAACCCAUGAGCGAGAACCCAUUUUAGGGCAAGUCUGGUAACAGCAGCUGCGGUAAUUCCAGCUCCAAUAGCGUAUAUUAAAGUUGCUGCAGUUAAAAAGCUUGUAGUUAAAACUCGUGGUCUGGACCUGGUGGUGCUGGUUCUGGAUUCCCAGCCCUCAAGGUGCCCCCUGAAUGCCUUUAACUAGGUGUCCUAGGCUUGGGACCCUGAGCAUUUACUUUGAAAAAAUUAGAGUGUUCAAGGCAGGGUUGGCACUGCGCUCCAUUGAAUACCCCAGCUAGGAAUAAUGGAAUAGUACCCCGGUUCUAUUUUCUGGGGGUUUCCAGAACCCGGAGCCAUGAUUAAGAGGGGUGACUGGGAGCAUUCGUAUUGCGUCGCUAGAGGUGAAGUUCUUGGACCGGCGCAAGACGGACCAGGGCGAAAGCAUUUGCCAAGAACGUUUUCAUUAAUCAAGCACGAAAGUCAGAAAGUCUGAGAUUUGAAGACGAUCAGAUACCGUCGAAAUUCCGACUGUAAACGAUGCCGACCCGCCAUCCGGCGGCGUUACUCCCAUGACCUGCCGGCCAGCGUGCGGGAAAUCACAGGUCUUUGGGUUCUG
rnacentral:ncRNA from 1 species